ACGGUUAAAAAAUAAUAAAAAUUUAGUACAUAAAUUGAAUUAUAUGAUUGGUAAUUUUUUUAUAGGACUUGUUUAUGAAUAUAGUAUAAACAAAAGGCAUUGAUGUAUUUAAGAGUAAUUUAAUCACAAUCAUAAUUUUAAAAAAGAUAUUUUACAACUCCUGAAGAGCCAAAAACUAUAUAAUAUUUGAUUUGAUGUAAUGAGAUAUAAGAUCUAUGAAUUAUAAAGUGAUAAAGUUAUUUUUUACAUGCAAUUAAAGCAGGUAAAUAUGUUUGAAAUUAUCAAAAAAUUUCAUAUUAUAUUUAUUUUUCUUUCCAUAUUUCUUAUUUCAACGAAUGUAAAUGCGUAUCAUAGAUGUAACCGAGACGUUGAUUGUAAAGAAAGAUAUUGUCGCAGGCCUCGUGAACCAAGGUGUAUACUUCACCAAUGUAGAUGUGUUGAAGUUGAAUUAAUGUUUGAUUAGAUUAUGUUCCCACACACUUCAAUAUUUAAUGUAAGACCCAAAAGAGUACACGAAUGUCAUAUAUGCUAGAAUAUUCCGUGAGUUGUCAUUUCGAUAUUUAGCUUGUAUCCAAUAAUUUUUUUUUUUUUCUUUUUCUAAUUUCAAUAAUCUUAUAGUUUGUUCUUGUACUAUAAAUUGACUCUAUUGAAAUAAAGCAAAAAAUAGUAUCAUUUAGAUUGUUU